GGAUGCAUGCUCCACAUGCAUCCCUCUUGAAGCGGCAUGCUUGGUGGAGGACGACCUUCCCUGAAUAGAGGAGGGCCUGUCUUGGGUCAAGGAUGUAAGAGUAGCUGUGCUCCCCUGUUAGAGCCUCCAAACAAGCUCUCAAGGUUGCCCUUUCAUUUUUAUCGAGUAAUACCCCAGUACAUAGGUUGUAUAGAUAUAUAAUAAUCUAUCUACUCCUAAUCCUCUAACUUCUGAUGGAUUUAGGU
rnacentral:snRNA from 1 species